CUGGGAUUGGCUUUGGGCCUUUCCUGCGCAGCUUAGGUGGAAGGCGAAGAAGGCCUCCUUCCGGGGGGUCCGAGCCAUCAGUGAGAUACCACUCUGGAAGAGCUAGAAUUCUAACCUUGUGUCAGGGUGGAAACAGGUGAUAUUUUAG
rnacentral:sRNA from 1 species